ensembl:processed_transcript Gas5 growth arrest specific 5
CUUUCGGAGCUGUGCGGCAUUCUGAGCAGGAAUGGCAAUGUGGACCUCUGUGAUGGGACAUCUUGUGGGAUCUCACAGCCAGUUCUGUGGCAAAGGAGGAUGAAGGUUUAUGAGGACUCGUCAGGAAGCUGGAUAACAGAACGAGCGCAAUGUGCUAGAAGACCAGAAAAUGAAAUGGUGGAGUUUGAGGCUGGAUAGACAGUUUGAAAGGGCUCCUGUGACAAGUGGACAUGCAGUGACUGUACCUUUGUUUCUGAGGUGCCUGGAUGGAGGCUCAAAUAGAAGAUGGUGUCAGAUAUAUUGUGUUGUCAAAAUUUUACCAUUAAAGUGUAUUAUAACAUGAA